CAGUAGCCGCGGUAAUACGGAGGGUGCAAGCGUUGUCCGGAUUUAUUGGGUUUAAAGGGUGCGUAGGCGGCUAUUUAAGUCAGCGGUGAAAGACUCCGGCUCAACCGGAGCAGUGCCAUUGAUACUGGAUAGCUUGAGUGUUGGAGGGGUACAUGGAAUUGAUGGUGUAGCGGUGAAAUGCAUAGAUACCAUCAGGAACACCGAUAGCGAAGGCAUUGUACUGGCCAACAACUGACGCUGAGGCACGAAAGCAUGGGGAGCGAACAGGAUUAGAUACCCCGGUAGUCCCUGUCUCUUAUAC
rnacentral:rRNA from 1 species